rnacentral:rRNA from 1 species
CAAUAGCGUAUAUUAAAGUUGUUGCAGUUAAAAAGCUCGUAGUUGGAUUUCUGGAUGGAGCGACCGGUCGGGCAUUAAUUUGUCUGCACUGGAGUCGGUUCCGUCCAUCCUCUUGGAAAGUGCGUGGGGCAUUAAGUUGUCUGGCGUAUGAUCCAAGUCGUUUACUGUGAAAAAAUUAGAGUGUUUAAAGCAGGCCUUCGCCUUGAAUACAUUAGCAUGGAAUAAUAAGAUAGGACUUUGGUCUAUUUUGUUGGUUUGCAGACCGAAGUAAUGAUUAAUAGGGAUAGUUGGGGGUAUUUAUAUUCCGAUGUCAGAGGUGAAAUUCUUAGAUUUUCGGAAGAUAAACUUAUGCGAAANCANNNACCAAGGAUGGUUUCAUNAA